rnacentral:rRNA from 1 species
GAUGCCCUUAGAUGUUCUGGGCCGCACGCGCGCUACACUGAUGAAUUCAACGAGCCUACAACCUUGGCCGAAAGGUCUGGGUAAUCUUUGAAAUUUCAUCGUGAUGGGGAUAGAUUAUUGCAAUUAUUAAUCUUCAACGAGGAAUGCCUAGUAAGCGCGAGUCAUCAGCUCGCGUUGAUUACGUCCCUGCCCUUUGUACACACCGCCCGUCGCUCCUACCGAUUGAAUGUGCUGGUGAGGAGUCCGGAUGAUGGGCGGGUGGCGGUCCGCCGCCGUCCGCCCGUCAGAAGUUCUUCAAACCCUCGCAUUUAGAGGAAGGAGAAGUCGUAACAAGGUUUCCGUAGGUGAACCUGCGGAAGGAUCAUU